rnacentral:rRNA from 1 species
CACGUAGGCGGAUCGGUAAGUCAGAUGUGAAAUCCCGGAGCUCAACUCCGGAACUGCAUUUGAUACUGCCAGUCUUGAGUGAGGUAGAGGGGGGUGGAAUUCCCGGUGUAGAGGUGAAAUUCGUAGAUAUCGGGAGGAACACCAGAGGCGAAGGCGACCCCCCUGGGCCUUUACUGACGCUGAGGUGCGAAAGCGUGGGGGAGCAAACG